rnacentral:rRNA from 1 species
AGUGAACGCUGGCGGUAGGCCUAACACAUGCAAGUCGAACGGCAGCACAGUAAGAGCUUGCUCUUACGGGUGGCGAGUGGCGGACGGGUGAGGAAUACAUCGGAAUCUACUUUUUCGUGGGGGAUAACGUAGGGAAACUUACGCUAAUACCGCAUACGACCUACGGUUGAAAGCAGGGGAUCUUCGGACCUUGCGCGAUUGAAUGAGCCGAUGUAGGCUUAGCUAGUUGGCGGGGUAAAGGCCCACCAAGGCGACGAUCCGUAGCUGGUCUCAGAGGAUGGUCAGCCACACUGGAACUGAGCCACAGUCCACACGCCUACGGUAGGGAGCCGUCCGGAAUAUUGGCCAAUGGGCGGAAGCCUGAUCCAGCCAGGCCGCGUGGGUGCAGAAAACCUUCGGGUUGUAAAGACCUUUUGUUGGGAAAGAACAGCAGCCGGUUAAUACCCCGCUGUACUGACGGUACCCAAAGAAUAAGCACCGGCUAACUUCGUG